rnacentral:rRNA from 1 species
AAUCAACGCUGGCGGCGUGCCUCAGACAUGCAAGUCGAACGAUUAAAGCUCUCUUCGGAGAGUGUAUAGAGUGGCGCACGGGUGAGUAACACGUAAGUAAUCUACCCUCGAGUGGGGAAUAACAACCGGAAACGGGUUGCUAAUACCGCAUAAUGCAGCGGCACCGCAAGGUGACAGGUUGUUAAAGAUUUAUCGCUUGAGGAGGAGCUUGCGGCAGAUUAGCUAGUUGGUAGGGGUAACGGCUUACCAAGGCUACGAUCUGUAACCGGUCUAAGAGGACGGUCGGGUCACACUGACACUGAAUAACGGGGUCAGACUCCUACGGGAGGCAGCAGUCGGGAUUUUGGGCAAUGGGGCGAAAGCCUGACCCAGCGGAAC